CAGACCCACAGCCACAGUCCCAGGUGGCCCAACAUCUCCUAGUGAAGAGACUCAGCUGCUUCUCAGGAGACAAAUGAGCAAUCCUACACAGCGGCUGGAUCAAUGAAGGAAAAUGCCAAGUAGUACCCUUGGCCCAGAUACAGGAAGGCUUCCUGAAGGGAGAGGUGGUUCAGUCAGGAUCCAAAGCACAUGGACAGUCCCGUGCAGUGCUGUCCUCAGGACGUGCCCCAGGAAAGAAGAUGAGUCCCCAGCAGGCCUGCUAUCCAUCACUCCCAGCUUCCCACUCCGGAUCCAGCUGAAUUUCUCUAAUUUUGGGACUAUAGUUCCCUUGCAUGAAGAGCUGUUUUGUAGACACACUUCAGCACCUGGAAGAAAGCAUCUGUCCAUCAGGUGGAUCAUAAACUACUG